UUUUAUUAUUUUGCUGAGAUAUAAUUGUCACGUAAGCGCCCCGUCAAUGCCACGUGGGACGGAGACCUAGUCAAACAAGCCACGUAUGAGCCAUGUCAGCCAAAACAGACUUCAAAACUGCUGAGGGACCACGUUUGCCUGGUUUUUAUAAGUUGGGGGACAUGUCAUACCCGGUUUUGCAGUUAUUUGCCACUUUUGUGACAUGACAAUUAACGAUUUGCCACACUGUAUCUAUGACAUAUGGGCCCUCAUGUGUCUAUAACAUGUGGGCCUAGUGGUAAAUCGUUAAGCACCGAUCGUAAGAGUGGCAAAUAGUUAAAAGACCCGACAAAUAAGGGACAAAUAGGGGAAGGUACCUAUAGUGAACUUAUUCCAACUCGAAAAGCCCAUCCUUCUGUCCAGACUCCAGCGCCGCCGCUUUCCGGCAGCGCCGACAACGCCGCCGCUCUCCCAAGCGCCGGCUGCCGCGCCCCACUCCGGCGACCCCCCCCCCCCCAACAACCACCCCGCAGUCGCCGCCACCCAGAAUUGGUCCCGCAGCUCCCCGCGAAUCCGGUCCCAAGCUAACCCUAGCCGCUGGCCUCCUCCUCUGCUGCUGCUGCUGCUGCGACUCCCUACCGCCGCCGAGAUGGCCGGUGCUGAGCACCGCGCAACUCCUGUGGCGUACGGUUGGUUAUCUAUUCCAGAGGUAGCUUCUCCUGAAAUUGGUUAAAGUGUUUCUUCUCCUCUUGGAGCUUGGUUGGCACCUGGAGUAUCAGCCCUUCCUGGAACUGAAUCACCUUCCUGAUCUGAAGCUCCUUGCUCCACUUAUAACUCAGAAAAUAGCAAAAUACGCUUUCAUCACUGAAGGUCCGUCGCGAAGGGAUGCAGCAGGAUACGGAUGGAUUGACGGCCCAUACUGAUUAUAUUCAAGUGUAAAUUUCCCUGAAUAAAACCGUAACAGAAGUCGAGGACGAUGGACGACGACCUGACAAAAAACUCUGCUGAAUAUGACAGCUUCAUUCAUCCUGCAGAUCAAAAGAGCGGGUUUCGUCAAAUAAUUAGAAAUAUACUGUUAAAUAGUACUAUCAAUGUUGUCUCGCAGCAACAAACUGUGAAACGAAAGGCAACAGAACUAGCCUGGAGUGAACUUCUAUGAUCUCAA